rfam:Chlorocebus sabaeus isolate 1994-021 chromosome 27, whole genome shotgun sequence.
UGCCUUUCCUUUCACUUAGAAACCCCCCAAUGCUUGGUGGUCGUAAAAGGAGGAAAAGUAAUAGUGAAGCUGGCCUGAAUGUUGUAAUCUGGUAUAUGGCAUGUGGGCUAGUUUCAGACAGGU